rnacentral:rRNA from 1 species
UACAGAGGGGGCAAGCGUUGUUCGGAAUUACUGGGCGUAAAGGGCGCGUAGGCGGCCAACUAAGUCAGACGUGAAAUCCCUCGGCUUAACCGGGGAACUGCGUCUGAUACUGGAUGGCUUGAGAUUGGGAGAGGGAUGCGGAAUUCCAGGUGUAGCGGUGAAAUGCGUAGAUAUCUGGAGGAACACCGGUGGCGAAGGCGACAUCCUGGACCAACACUGACGCUGAGGAGCGAAAGCCAGGGGAGCAGACGGG